CCUACUCCUUACGGGAGGCAGCAGUGGGGAAUAUUGCACAAUGGGCGGAAGCCUGAUGCAGCAACGCCGCGUGAGGGAUGACGGCCUUUGGGUUGUAAACCUCUUUUAGCAGGGAAGAAGCGAGAGUGACGGUACCUGCAGAAAAAGCGCCGGCUAACUACGUGCCAGCAGCCGCGGUAAUACGUAGGGCGCAAGCGUUAUCCGGAAUUAUUGGGCGUAAAGAGCUCGUAGGCGGUUUGUCGCGUCUGCUGUGAAAUCCCGAGGCUCAACCUCGGGCUUGCAGUGGGUACGGGCAGACUAGAGUGCGGUAGGGGAGAUUGGAAUUCCUGGUGUAGCGGUGGAAUGCGCAGAUAUCAGGAGGAACACCGAUGGCGAAGGCAGAUCUCUGGGCCGUAACUGACGCUGAGGAGCGAAAGGGUGGGGAGCAAACAGGCUUAGAUACCCUGGUAGUCCACCCCGUAAACGUUGGGAACUAGUUGUGGGGUCCUUUCCACGGAUUCCGUGACGCAGCUAACGCAUUAAGUUCCCCGCCUGGGGAGUACGGCCGCAAGGCUAAAACUCAAAGGAAUUGACGGGGACCCGCACAAGCGGCGGAGCAUGCGGAUUAAUUCGAUGCAACGCGAAGAACCUUACCAAGGCUUGACAUACACGAGAACGGGCCCAGAAAUGGUUCAACUUCU
rnacentral:rRNA from 1 species